UACGUAGGGUGCAAGCGUUGUUCGGAAUUAUUGGGCGUAAAGCGCGUGUAGGUUGCUAAGUAAGUCGAUUGUAAAAGCCCUAGGCUCAACCAAGGAAGUGCAUUCGAAACUACUUAGCUAGAGGAUGGCAGAGGAAGGUGGAAUUCCAAGUGUAGAGGUGAAAUUCGUAGAUAUUUGGAGGAAUACCGGCGGCGAAGGCGGCCUUCUGGACCAUUCCGUGACACUGAGACGCGAAAGCGUGGGGAGCAAACAGG
rnacentral:rRNA from 1 species